GUCGAAGACGGAGAACAAGAAAAUGAAGCUAUAUGUACAGGACGUAAAACUGUUAAAAACACUCGUUCAAAAGUAUCCACACAAAAGAUUUUUUGUGGUUGUAGAACCAAUUGUGCAUCAGCAAGAUGUAGUUGUAGAAAAAGUUCUCUCAAAUGUAAUGAAUUAUGCAAGUUUUGUCAUGGUGAUACAUGCAAUAACAGUAUAAAUGCAGGCGUUGAUACCAAUGAAGAUAGUGAAUAUGAGACACAUACAAAAGCUAACGAUAAAGACGAAGAAACACCUACUGAAGAAGAAAACGAAGGAAGCUCAACUGUUAGAGACAGCAGUCCACUUGAUGAAAUUUAUAUUAACUUUGAAAAAUUUUAAUAUAGUUUUUGGAAUUGCAAAAUCUAUAUUUUUUUAUUUAUUAUAUAAUUAGAGAAUCAAUUACUCUUAGGAAGUUUCUUCAAAUUUUUUUAAUUGUAAUACAAUUUUGUAAUCUAUUAAAAAAAAAAAAAAUAUUUUCAUCAGUUAAAGUUGAUUUAAUUUGAAAAUAAAAAUUUUAAAUUGU